ACCACUGCUAAUCUAUACCGCUGCCAAUCUAUCUAUCGCUGCUAAUCUAUCGCUGCUGUCAAUCUAUCUACCACUGCCAAUCUAUCUAUUGCUGCCAAUCUAUCUACCACUGCUAAUCUAUCGCUGCUAAUCUAUCGCUGCUAAUCUAUUGCUGCUAAUCUAUCUAUCACUGCUAAUCUAUCGCUGCCAAUCUAUCUACUGCUGCCAAUCUAUCUACCACUGCCAAUCUAUCUACCGCUGCCAAUCUAUCUACCACUGCUAAUCUAUCACUGCUAAUCUAUUGCUGCCAAUCUAUAUAGAGUAAAUCAUGAUUCCAUUUGAUUCCAUUUUGUAAAAUGGAAUCAAAUGAAACUGAGAUCACUAAUUUAUUAGUAAAAUAUGAUCUGAGACUAGAUUUAUAAUAUAAACAGUAUAAAGUAAUUAAUUUACUAAAUACUAUAUAGAAUCAGAACUAAGAUAUCUAAUAAUA
rnacentral:sRNA from 2 species